GAAGUCGAACCAGAAUUGGAUCCCGAUCUCACCGAUAAACGAUUCGAACAAGGAGAAUCCUCAUCUGGUCAACGCCGCUCCGGCGAAGAUUGAGUCAAUCGAUGUGUCCCUGGCGGAGGAGCUGAGCGCGAUCCGCCAGAAGAUCGAACGGCUGAGAUUGGACAGAGAGAAGACGGAGAAGAUGCUGAGACAGAGGGAUUUGGUGAUGGAGACGAAUUUGAAGGAGAUGGUGAACAGAGGUGAGGUCCAGAAGCUUCUUGAGAUCGAGGUCGAUAGGUUGUUUCGGCUGAAGGAACUCAAAUCUUCGUGUAUGAGAAUAUCUCCGCUUCGAUCUCUGAGACAGAAGCAACAGAACUGGGCGAUCAAGGAAGACCAAUCACAGGCAAGUACAAACGCUAUUCAAAAUCAUUUUCUUUGGUUGAAUUUUUAUCAUU